rnacentral:misc_RNA from 1 species
UUACUAAGAUGAGUAAGAUGAGAUGCGUCGAAAAUAUUACAUAUAUAUGCAUCUUUAAAAGAGAUAAAAACACUCCAACAUAGAAAUUCUACAAAGAUUUCAAAGCAAGUUGCUACGUAAGAACGCUGUGAUUUAUUGGGACCUAAAAACCCCUUCAGUCACAAGGAGGCUCUGAGCUUUGUAGUCCGUCACCUCGACAGACUCUGCAGAUACCCUAACCGGCUAGCGGCUGACCUAACAAAUGAAAACUGUUGUCGCAGGCUAAAAAGACUACACCCUCUGGAUUUUCCAUUCAAGCCUGAUCCCAACUUGUAAGUUUGGACUUAUCUCCUCGGUUUUAGCAGAUGAAGAUUGAAGACCUCACUCACUAAACCCUCCUGAGGAUUUUUACUUUGACAGACUUUUUUUUUCUUAACGCUCCGUAUAUUAAACUUGUCACCGGAUCUGAUCAUUGUCCAAAUGGACAGAUUUUACUUACACUUACUUUACUUUACUUACUUACACUUACACACUCAACAAAAUUCUAUUAUAUAUGUUAAAUAAGAAGAGGAAAGUUAUUAAACAGCAGGCGAUGAAAAAGACCUUCUUCGAGAACUACGAAUAUUAUGAAAAUGAGGCUGUUUAUUCCGAUAAUUUCCUGUGAGAACAUCUAAAUUGCUAGUGAAAAGUCAGCAAGUCCUCAGUUCCCCUAAUUUUGGGUCUAUAUAUUUAUUGACUAUGGCCUUACGUUUCCUAAAUCGUUUCGGAUGUUGCAUCAUUCGCGUUCCUUGUGCUAUUAAUUUCCCCGCCUGCAAUCCAAUGUUUAAUAUGCAGAAUACGUAUGUUAAUGAAGACCAUAUGCUGCAACCAGGCAAAUAAUACGUUCUCCUGCAGAUAUGGAAAAGAAAAUAGAGUUCCCAAAAGAAUAGGCCGAAAAGCGCGAUUGUGCCAAAUAAGGAUGGAACAAGGAUGGACGGUGUAGCCAAUCAAAAUAAAGAUCCAAAUACAUAUAUACAUUUAUUUGUGUUCCAUGUGAGCUGAGAGGCCUGCUGACGUCUAGUCCUAUAUGUUAAUUUCAAAAUUUCAGUUUACUAUACCUAUGUGCAUUUUAUUUUUUAUCAAUUAUUAUUAACCAAAUUCUAAUUUUCCUACUAUAAGCCAGCUAAUUAAAUAACCAUUAACAAAAUACUGUACACUUGAAAGUCUAGUUCUAAAUUAGCAUAUAUGUAGGAACAAUCCAGCCUACUCAUAUUGUGUUUAGCAGGCUAACUGCGUAUAUUUAAUGCAGUUAAUGCAAUCGACUCUAAUCGGGCAGUCUAUCUAAAAUACAAAUAAUUUGUAGUUUCUGUACAAGAAUCUGCUCCCAAAUCGUGAAAAAAAAGUAACCAGAACACGACUCUCAAAUCUAGCUCUAAAGAUAGUCGAGGUAUAUCUUACACAAUUUGGGAAUAAUGGGAAAUGAAUAAUUUAUUAUUAUUGAUGAUAAUGAAAUAGCUUGCGCUCUUUCGUACUGGCAAACAGACAGAAAACGGGUAUAUCUGCUGCAAUAAACUAUACGUAUAUACAAAAGUGUAAUCCCACCGACUUGUUCGCCAUUGAAAUUGACAAAACAAUUAACCAACAACACUCAAAAGAAUGGAAAUUGGCUUGAAAAUAUUUGACACUGAGUAGGUUGAACGGAAAAGAGCAAAUGGUAUCAGCCAAACACAGUGGUCCAGUUCUACAGAUAAUACUAAGCGGGUAUUUCCGUUCUUUAAGCCCAUGUUAAGUCAUUUAAAUAAUUGUGCCACAAACGAUUUGCAUACAAUGGUACAAUGCCGUGCAAAGUCUGGAAAAUUUAAAUGCAGUUCAUAACAGACACGAGAGAUGCGGCCGGAAAUUAAUAUACAAAAACAGAAGCUCAUUAUACGCUUACCUACACUCA